GACGAACGCUGGCGGCGUGCCUAAUACAUGCAAGUAGAACGCUGAAGGAGGAGCUUGCUCUUCUGGAUGAGUUGCGAACGGGUGAGUAACGCGUAGGUAACCUGCCUGGUAGCGGGGGAUAACUAUUGGAAACGAUAGCUAUUACCGCAUAGGAGUAGAUGUUGCAUGACAUUUGCUUAAAAGGUGCAAUUGCAUCACUACCAGUUGGCCCUGCGUUGUAUUAGCUAGUUGGUGGGGUAACGGCUCACCAAGGCGACGAUACAUAGCCGACCUGAGAGGGUGAUCGGCCAAACUGGGACUGAGACACGGCCCAGACUCCUACGGGAGGCAGCAGUAGGGAAUCUUCGGCAAUGGACGGAAGGCUGACCGAGCAACGCCGCGGGAGUGAAGAAGGGUUUCGGAUCGUAAAGCUCUGUUGUAAGAGAAGAACGAGGGUGAGAGUGGAAAGUUCACACUGUGACGGUAUCUUACCAGAAAGGGACGGCUAACUACGUG
rnacentral:rRNA from 1 species